rnacentral:lncRNA from 1 species
GGUUGGCACAGAUGCUGCUCGGAGCUGGGGGCAAUGCCCAGGACAAACAAUGCCUGAGCAGACCUCAGACAUGCUGUCUCUGGUGAGCUUGUGACAUGCAUGGUACCCUGAGCUCCCCAGCACCGCUCAGGGUGAUGGAGGCAGCUUCUCCACAGCCUCAGGUAUUUUUCACCAAUGCCAAAUCUAUCAGCAAGUGGCCAAACCAACCGGAACUGCCCCCAGGACAUAAAAUCACUGUAUGGAGAAUCAAGGCAGUUUUUGGACAGGGGGAAAGAGAUACUUCAAAGGAGGUUGCUUGAACUCCUCUCCAAAAGCAACAUGUGCAUUUUAGCCAGAGCUGGGAUGAAUGUCGGAGCUAGAGGCAGUUACUGGAGCUAAAAUAAAAGGGUGGUAUGUAAAAGGAUUAGGAAAAGAACUGUAAACGUGAGGACAGACAGACCAUUUCAGCAUAUAUUGAUAACACUGUGCGUUGCUUUCAUUCCAGGACCAGAAAGGGGUUUAUUAUCCUGCCUAACAAAGGCUCUGAGCACUUGAGGAAGUAAUUACCAAUACUCUUUGGGAGCUGUUGCUUUGCCAGGAGAGAGUGUGCAGAGUGCCUGAAUAGGCACUUGUCCCCAGUGUCCUCCGUCACCAGUGCACACCAAGUGCCAGAGGGGUAAGUGAGAGCAAAGUAGCACCCUGGAGCUCCCCGUCCACGACAGCUUUGCACCUCUGCAGCCCGUGGCUGCCACAGCAGCUCCCAUGCAACAGAGCAUCCUGUCUACUGCCACAGAAACACACAGCAGCAAGCAAGGUCUAUCUGUUGACAUUGGCUCUCCUGAGCAGAGCGUUGGGCCACGCCAGGAAGCUGAGUGUACGACUCUCCUUGUGUUUCCCACCUUCCCAGGGGUUAUCGCCUGUGAAAUCUCACACACACCCAUGGCAGAAAAGGUUUCUGAUGCAGAGGCAGGUGAAAGGUGCCCGCUGGUCCCACGGUGGUGAGUUUGGGUGCCCCAUGCUUGGUGGCAGGAGCUGAGCCACCUUCAGUUCCAGAGGGGU